AGAACCUAGCCCAGGAACAUCCAGUGUGUCAGAUCAAAUCCAAGCAACAAAGAGCACCCCCCGCCCCGCGUCACGCCUUCUCCAAUCCUCCUCUUUGGGGACGCUCCGGGACGGGCACCCGGGGGCUUCAGGGGACGAGCGCUCCUAGGGCAAGGCGGAGGCAGCCCGGUCUGAUGGUCUGAUGCCAGUGAAGUGACGCCUUAUUCCGGUUGUGUUUGAAGAAUUGCUGGGGCUGUCGUGACAACUGAGGGCAAAGAAGGGAAAACAGAAGCAAAGAAAACCAUCUCAAAAGUCUUGGGAUUUGCUGCUGUUAAAAGGCUGCUGUUCAUUUCUGAUUUCCUCAUCUUUUGCUACAAAGAAAAAAGAAAUCUAAUGAUGUGUCUACAUUCAAUGAGAAGAAAACACUAACAACAG